rnacentral:lncRNA from 1 species
UUUUUUUUUUUUUGUUCUGUGUGUGUUUUGCUCAGAUAUAGAGAGAGAAGAGAAAAGUGUGCAAAAAGCAAUCAAAGAUGCUGCCAAGAGAAAUGACAUGGGUUCUGCAAAGGUGCUCUGUUUUUUCCUCCUAAAGCCAUUUUGUUCUGAGCAAGGGUUUUACUUACAAUUUCGCAAUUUUAUGCAUUGUCUUUCCCUAAUUGGUUUUAUUUUUUGAGACUGGAUUACAAUGAUCACAUUAGACUUCAUGAGAAUGUAUGCUUUCGUAAAAUUCAACUAAAUCGAAGUAGAUAGCAAAUAUCAAUCUGUCAUGAUAUGGUUAAUUUUGUAGGAGAGAGUUUUUCUUUCCUAUAUGAAGGUUAAGCUUUAUCUGCUUAGAACAUACUGCAAUCAUGAUGUGUUAUGAAGAAAGGCUAAGGUUCUAGAUAUACUUGAAGCCGAUAAAUUUUGAAGAUAGUGAGCUAAUGGGGGCUCUCCAAUUUUAUUUUGAUCCGUACCAUGUGGUUUUGUUUGAUAUCGUGUUUUAUUUGACAGAUUAUAUAAGUGAUCAGUGGCUGAGUUUGAUUCCUGACUCAUGUUUAAUAUCUCUUUAUGUCAGUCACUUGCUGUAGAAAUUGUGAGAUCUAGAAAGACAGUGAACCGUCUUCAUGAAAAUAAGGCGCAACUCAAUUCAAUAUCAAUGCACCUUGGCGAGAGCGUUGGUACGGAUUUUCUAAUACAUGAGCUUAUAGUUCUGUUUGCAUGUAUACAUCUUAUCGCUGGUACUAGUGCUGCCCAUUAGCUAUUUGCGACUUGGCUCAUAUUCCUGUUGUUACUUUAUGCAUUUAAGUAGAGUAGUUGCUUUACGAUUUUGAAACUAGAAUCUCCUUUUAUUACUUGAAUUCAAAUGCUAUUCCGUAUUGUUAUUUUGCAGCUACGUUUGUUACUAAUUACUAUUUAUCCUAUUAAAAGAUACCACUUUUUCAGGAUUACCCGUGUUAAUCUAUAGCGAGUGAGUGAGAGGAGGAAGCUUUCUAAUAGGUUCCAAUUACACCUUAGAUCUUAUAGGCGAAUUAAACCAUCCACCUUGAAACACAGUGCUAAGUUAUCUUAGAACUCUUUUAGUACUAGUCAAUGUUUCAUAAUCCAAUGAAGAUAAUUCCUAUGUUUUACCAGGAUGUUUAAAGUGGACUCCUUGUCCACCACCUUGUUCUUUGGUUUUGUCUCAAUAAAAAGCUGUUCCUUUUCAAAAAUAACUUGAAUGAAUGCAAGGACAAACAUAUCUUGAUGUAGUUAUGGUUACUAAUAAAGUAAUAAUAUGCUGUUGAGUUUCAUUUUUUUCCCUCUCCUCGGUUGUGUUAUUUGUCUUAACUCUCUCGUACAUGUGGCUGAUUUUGCAGCUAUUGCCCGUACUGUUGGCCAUUUAUCCAAGAGUGCUGAGGUCAUGAAGCUUGUUAAUAAUCUGAUGAAGGCUCCAGAAGUGGCUGUUACGAUGCAAGAAUUUAGCAAGGAGAUGACUAAGGUAUCCCUUCAUCUAACAAAUAAGCAUAAACUUGAUUGCUUUUGUUUUCUUAGCUUUAGAUUUAUUGUAGACGUAGAAUAUACAUGUGCAGCAAUACUCUGUUUUCAUAAUGUGUCUUUCAUUCUAUUCUUAUUAAAGAGUAUAGGGAAAUAUGGAAAUAGGGUUACCUACCAUCAUUUUACCAAAAACCUUAGGGAGCUAAAAGGAAAAUAUUUUUCCUUAAUUUUGGUCACAGUUGUCGAUUUGAUGAGAAUAGGUAGCAGUUUUGUCCAUUUUAAUAAGUUUUCCCCUGAGGGCGUGAUUGCAAGCUGCACCAAGUCCUUCCUGACCAAAUUAAACCCACUUCAACCAACGAAUUGUGGGUUUGGACAUCCUGAGCUUCUGCCAGCCAAAAGCAGAAGAAAAGAUACCAUUGAUGAGGCAACCAGAUUUCAUCGCCCCUAUACAGACUAGGUAUCAGUUCAGCCAGGAAUAGAUAGAUUUCAUGUAGUAAGCUAUUCGAGGAUGAGGGCCGGACCAUGUAUAGUUACAACAUAUUAUAGUAUUUUACGAAAUGGUUCUUUAUAGCCAAACCAUCCUAGGAAUAGAUUGAUGAAACGGAACAAACUUAAACAACAAACUGUAGGUUCGGAGUUUCUGAGCUUCUCCCAGGCAGAAGCAGAAGAAAAGUACCAUUGAAGAGGGAAAAUAUCAUCACCCCUACGAGGACCAGAUAUUAUUUUUGCUAUGGAUACAUGAAUUUCAAGUAGUAAGAAAGAACAGGAUGAGAGGCGGAUCAUCUAUAACUAUUAGAACACGACUUACCAUUUCUAUGAAAAAUAGAGGGCUCUGUAACAUUUGAGCCACAAGCGAGAUAAAUGUUCAAAAGGAUGCCAAUUGUAAAAGCAGAGGGUUGUAAAGGGGCAAUUACCAGUAAUAUGAAGUAUCCAUAAUCUUACAGUGCUCAUUGGUUAAAUUCUAUUGUCCAGUUCCAGGAAAACACUUGGGGAAGGCUGAUGUCUCAAAUACUAUAACUGUCUAAGUGAUAGGCAUAUAUCUGAGCAGCCCAAAUGCUUCACUUCCAGAAACAUGGAGUGUUUUUAAUCCAAAGGCCACCUUUUGAUUUGGCCAUUUGGGAAGACAAAGCUCAUCAUAGGAAACCUUUUUGGUGUACUGGCCAUCAGAUGUUUAUUAUCAAUUAUGUUUGUGCCUUGUCUAGUUGUUCCCAUAAUUAUUGAACCUUGUCAGGUCCUCUACUGAAUAAGCACUCAUAUAUUGUGUGUGACGUGUAGGCAGGGGUAAUUGAAGAGAUGGUCAAUGAUAGUCUUGACACAACACUAGACUCGGAGGACAUUGAAGACGAGAUCGAGGAGGAAGUUGAUAAGGUUUUGACCGCCAUAGCGGGCGAGACUGCUGCACAACUUCCAGAAGCUGUGAGGAAGCAGAAGUUGAAGCAACCUGCUAGAGCCCAAGCUGCGCAGGAGGUAUGUGUGACUUGACCGUCUUAUAAUGAACUCCAGUUUCAGUAAUAAAUUCAGAGGCAGGAGAGCGUUAAAUGCCAUGUUACAUGUGCAGGAAGAAGCAAUAGCUGAGGGUGGUGAUGAUGAGGCAGAGUUGGAAGAAAUACGAGCCAGACUUGCCAAAGUUAGGUCAUAAGUUUGAUUUUAAGGCUUUUGGUCUCUGCCUUUUCUCUUCCCCAAGCAUUACAUAACUGAGGCAGAUGCACUUCCUGAGUAUAGCGUUUCGACCAGAUUGAGGUUGCAUCAGUGAGGCCCCAUCAGUGAGGCCCCAUUUACUACUGACAGAGAACACCAGAGAUGUUUUUUCUACUGUAUAUUAUAUUCAAGCAGCUUGGUAAAGAGUUUACACAGUAAGCUGCAAUUGUGCAAUAUUAAAGUGCAAAUAUAUUAGUUUGUGAUCUCUUUUUAUAUCUGUAUGAAGUCCAAGUUGUGUAACUUGCAUUUGCUCUUUAUCAUAAAAGGGGUACUCAUUUCAUGUAACUUUGCAUGAGAACAUAGCAUGACGUGUUUUGAUGGUAUUAUCUGGAAUAUAUAGAGGGUAAAGGAACCAGACAAUCAUCACCACAUUCUAUUCCUUCUGCUAUUAUGGCCUUAAACGUGAGUUUAAGCACCCACUUUUCUAUCAGGUUCAUGUUUAAGAUCAUUGGAUCUUGGUACUCAAUUUUGGUUGAAAAAUUUACUCAUGGACAGUAUAAUGAUCUAAAGUGUUAUGGUAACAGCAGUAAGGUUAGUUUAGGGUUUAGAGUAUGGAAGCCUUGGUCUUACUGGAUGGAAAACACGGCAAAUCACACUAUCACAGUAUGAGUGCUCCUUAAUCUUCAACAGUUGGAUGCACAUGAGGGGAAGGCAAGUCGAUACAGUUUUGUAUAUAUAAACCGAAAAUCUGUUCUGUAAAAUAGUAGUGCAGCUAUUGCUUAUAUAAAAUGAAAACUGCUUAGGUGGUUUGAUGUUUCCGGAGCGGAAUCAGUACACCUUGGUGCACAUGAACCAUAACAGAUUAAGCAAACGUCCGUUACUGACAAACAGAACAAGGACCGUAGUAAAAACCCAGAUUCCCAAUAAAAACUUUCCUCAUCAAAGAACACUCGGGCAAAACCCAGCCUUUCCAGCCAUGCCUCAUAAGUUCGACCCUUCUCACAGGUCAUCGAGGUCUAUGUCCGCGUCACCGGAGCGAGGUUGGCGCCGUCGGUCUCUCCCCCAAGAGAUCGGAAAAAGAAGAAUCGCUAAUCACGCCAUCGAGAUUAUUGCUAAGAUCAUGGAACACCAGAUUUGUUGUUGGGGAGAAGAGAAAGAGAGUGGAUCUUAAUAAGAUGAAGCUUUUCGGGUGGAUAGAUUUGUGGUGGAAGCAAUGAGCCUUGAGAGAUUUGACGACCUUGAAUUUGGUUCUAGUGACGAUGGUUCAACGUCAGCCAUGAAUGCAGUUGGUUUUGGAUUAAAAUGAUACAAAAGAUAUUAUGGUCAUUGUGGAAAGUGGAGACUAAAUUAACUAGAAGGAAUCAUGUGCAAGGGUGUCUAUGAUAGGAAAAUUGUACCAAUAGUGUUAAUUCUUUGAUUUAAUCUCGACCUCAAGAUCUUUACAAGCUGGCUGUCCAACUUUUUCUUUAAAUUAGACAAACGUGUGUGUCUAUAUAUAUAUUCUCAGGUGCGAACGUUCGCAUCAAAGUUUUGGUGCGGAUUUCUAUUUUUGCACCACUUCCCGAUCGAAUUUCCUCAAACUUCCUUCUAGACAUAUCUAGAUCAUCUCUGCAAAAUUUCAACNNNNNNNNNNNNNNNNNNNNNNNNNNNNNNNNNNNNNNNNNNNNNNNNNNNNNNNNNNNNNNNNNNNNNNNNNNNNNNNNNNNNNNNNNNNNNNNNNNNNAACUUCUUCAAAAUCGUUUUAUUAUCCACAAAACCAUUGAUAUGAUAAGUCGCCAUUACGCAAGUGUUAACCAUCAAGUACAAGAAAAAUUUCAAAUAUGUACAUCAUAUGAUAAGCCCAAAAUGACUAUGUACUUUCACAUACCUAGUUGUGUUUGAAUGAUCUAAACAUAAAUAGAUUAUGAUACCCAGAAAGAAAAUUAUGACCUAUAAAAGUUUCCAAGAUCCAAACUCCUUCACUGAAGAUCCAACAUCUGGAGAGGGGUUGUUGAUGUAACGUACACUUCAUGAUUAACAAUGAUGUAACGUACACUUCAUGAUUAACAGCUAGAAUUUCAAGUAAACCAAAGAAUAAUACAUAAGUACUACAAUCUACUUUGUAUCUAUCUUGAUUAGUCUUCCAUGACGCAAACGUCAUUUCGCUUGUAUGGAAGAAGCGGUCAAAUUCUUCCAUUUCUCCAACUCAGAAUUGUUCAAUUGAUGGAGAUUCUUGCUGGAAAAGUACCACCAGAAUUUAGUAACAACACUCUUCAAGUCGUUGGCUCUCAAAACAAAUCCUUCAACCUUUUUCUGAGCCUUGAGAGUCCUGGUUGAGAUAGGAAACUCAGAAAAUGAGGCAAAUUUUGUUGUAGCCCAAUUUAGUAGCUCCUCUCCAUAAAAGUCACCUCUCACAAGACACUUAAUAAUUGAUGAAGCACCGCUGGUAAUUCUUCCGGCAACAUUGGCAUUACAAGUUGUGUAAGACCAUGCGGUACCUCUUGUGAUGAAGAACAUCUCCUCAAGUGGUUCCCCCUCUCGAAUGAUAUAGGUGUCUUCGUUAUAUAUUACCAGCUGAAGAUGCUCACAUAUUGCCUUUAGUACUCGUGCAUCCAUGUUUAUGAACAUUGGCACCUGUAAGAUCCAACAUUUGGUGAAUUCUGCUUCACAAUAAUAGGAACAGCCGACAUCUUUAUGUUGCAACAUAUUAUUCACCUAUAUACGUAUGAACCAAAGAUGAUUGUAGGAGAACAAUACUUACUUUCUUUAAAGAAGUCAUACCAAGAUAGCUCAUGACAUCUCUUCGGUCUUUUACGGGAAGGUUAUGGAGGAAAUUGUCCCUAUCAACAAUAUUGUUCUUUUCAAGUUUUCGUUGUACAUUUUCCACAAUCACUGUCUUCAAAUUCUUAGGGAGUGCGUUUUUGGACACCCAAAAAUCUAUCUCUGGUUUCAUCAUUUGCAUUUUUUGCCUCAGUUUACGAUGUUUUGAUCUUUUCUUAAACACCUGCAUGCAUGUAUAAACAUUAUAUACAUACAAGUAUACAUUUUGUUGUACUGAUAUAUAAUUAAUCAUUCGAACCAACCUUAAGUCUUCCAUUGAAAUAUAUCAAAAACAGCACGAUGCCACUUACAGAUAAGAAAAUCAAAAAUAUGAUCUCCGAGGCUGGGAGACUAGUGUCAUGGUUUGAACCAAAAGAACUGCAGAAAUAGAUUGGUUUAAGUAUUAUUGUGUUCUUGCAUAUGAAACACACACACACAUAUCUAAAUAUAUAUAUAUAUAUAUAUAUAUAUAUAUUGUUCUAGGAUAUUCUAUAUCUUUCUAGAUAUUCUUUAUGUGUGUCUUUGCCUUAUGCCAAUAGGAUAUGUAGUUAGACUAGAUCUAUGUAUUCAUAUCCUUACCAUACUGGUAAUCUGUAAUUUCCUAUAUAAAGGGUUUCUAUCAAUGAAUGAGAUACACAUCUUUCACGAUUCUCUAUUCUCAAUUUACUUUCACUUCAUCACGUUAUCAGCCAUUUGCUCAAACCCUUGAGCUAAUAGUUCUUCCAAACCCUAAAACCAAAAGCCGAAACCCUCGGCCCUUCCUCGGCCGCCGCCGCCGAUUGCACCACCGAUUGCCGCCCCCCCCGGCCUUUCGCUCUACUGCUUCUUUUCUCGUCCGAUCAAGCAUCCAAGUUUUACGGUAUGUUCACUUUAAAACCCUAAAACUUUUCAAAGUUAAAUAACCUCAGGGGAGAUAAAAUGUUUUCUCCUCUUCUUCUACUCCAUUCUAUGCUUGGGACGGUGUCUUUGCAAGUUUAAAAAUCUCGGUUAUCCUCCCCGGGUCCAAAGUUGUGUUUGAUCAACUUUGGUUAUUGCUAUUUUGAAGGUGUGUUUGAUCACCUUCACAUAGUUCCGGGUCGUGUUUGAUCGACUCCGGACAUUUAGGGUUGUGUUUGAUCAACCCUAGAGAGACAAACCAAAAGCAUCGUAUUUGAGUACCUUUUUCAGGGUCUCCAACAGAAAACUAAUACGACUUGUUCUCUCUUGUAUGCAGAUGGACAGAGGCAUUGAAUUUGAAGUCCUCGACACCCAUGGUACUGAGUACCAUCGUUGGAUCUCGGACAUAGAACAGACCUUCAUCGCUAAGGAUCUGACCGAGACCAUAUUCCCCGAUCCAGAUCAGGAACCGCCUAGCAAGAGAACAAAAUCUCAGGCACUAAUGUUCCUUCGUAAGCAUAUCGAUCCCACACUGCGCAGGCAAUAUCAAUCCAAGCACGAUCCAAAAGAUCUGUGGGAUGCCCUUGCCGAACACUUCGGCAACAUUCACUCGACCUUGCUCCCAGAACUAAUUGCUCGCUGGGAUGAAAUCCGACUUUUGGAUUACAAGAAGGUCGAUGACUUCAACAGGGAUAUGCUUUGCCUACAAGCUUAACUGAGCUCAUGUGGAGUCGAGAAAAGUGAUGCCGACAUGAUCGAAAAGACUUUCUCGACCUUCCUUUCAGUCGCUAAGAUCCUCAUGAACCAAUAUCGGCUUGAGUUCACAAAUAAGAGGAUCACUACAUUUAGCGGUUUAAUGAUGCAUCUCCUUAUGGAAGAAAAGAAUAACAUGAUCAAUGAUCAGCAAAAUUUGCGUCCUGUAGGCACCCGGAAAAUUCCGGAAUCUAAUUACAAUUGCAACCGGAGUAAGAAAGCUCUGAAACGCAAGGAUCAACAUAGGAAUGAACCUUAUGCAUGUGGGAAUCAUCACCUCCGUGCCUCUGGUUCUCAGGGACAAGGUAGCGGCUUUAGUGGCCGUACCAACUCAUGGCAUCGAGACACCGGUGUCGCCGGCCCCAAGGGCGGCGCCGCUCCUCCUCGGAAGCAGCAUGCUCGCUCUUCUUCUGCCUUUGAUGGUCAAUGCAACAGAUGUGGGUCCAAGGACCACUGGUCUAAAAGCUGUCGCGCUCCUGCAAAUGUUGUUACCGCAUACAAGAAAUACAAGGAACUGAUGGAAGUCAAUUCCACUGAAAACAAUGGAGUUGAACAUAAUGUUACAUUCAAGGUCGCUGACCCUAAUGGACAAUGUUCUGACUUAGAUGCCCCUGACUUUGACGUCACCGGCUAGAUUGUUUUCCCUUUUACAAGUCAUGAUGUAAUAAGGCAUCGUCAGCAUGCCAUGCUUAGUUUUCUUCUCAAUUUUUUUUUGAGACCCUUAUGUACUCUUUUCAGCGCAUUAAUGAAAGUUUAUUUCAUGGUUCUUCUUGUCUCUACAUGGUUCGAAUUGAUUUACAUCUACCUUAGAAAACAUGGCAUCAACGCUGUCUUCAGUCUCUCCCUUAAAAGAGGUGACGUACGGCGCCAUGACUCUCAAGGAGAGUUACUCACGUGUUUUCCGGUUCAAGUUUUUUACCUAUAGCGGAUUUUCCAUCAUCAAUUGUUCAACUAGGCUCAUCCAAGUUAAUAUGAUGUCUUAGAAUUGUCUGAAAUUAAGGAGUUAGUGGUUUAAGUGUGCCUCGCACUACCGACCCUCCACGGACAUGCCUGGCCAUACUUAAUUUGGAGUUACCGAAAACUUUUGAUUUUGGAUUCCCUCUACGCUAUUACUCCAAUUGCCGUCUUGUAAAAGACUUUAAAGACUUGGAAAAACCGGACCAUCAUCGAAUCCUCUAGGUUCCUUGAUCAUCAACACGUCCCUGUGGCUGAGCAUUCGUCUCCAUGCCACCAGCAAGCUUCAAACGCUUUGCUAAUGCCAAAUCUGCGAAAAACAGUAAUCUGUCCUCCCUGGACAGUCACUUCGUUUGAGCUUUGUGAACAGCUCCGGAUGAACCAGACAGUGAGCUUUAUAUCAUUGGAAAGCUCUACGAGUCUAGUUUUCAGAAAAUUUUGCGGUUCUUCCAUAUCUAUUUUAACGAAGGAGUUAUGACUGUUUUAGUGUGCAAAGGUCAUUCUGCGCAAGAAAUUUUCAGCACUCUCGGGAUUGUUGCUACUUUUAGCUUUUUCAAUCCUUCUAAAUAGCUCGAUAUCGACCUAUUUACUCAUAUAUCUACUCUCUUUUGUAGAUAUGUCUCUUGGAGAGAUCAAGUGCCUCGCAGAUAGUGGAUCAACCCACACAAUUCUAAGGAACCGGCAACUAUUUCUUGAGUUAGUGCCUUGUAAAUCAUCUGUGACGACAAUGAUUGGAUCUUCCCCUGUGAUCCUCGGGCGUGGAACUGCUCGCUUUUUUCUGCCUCAUGGCACUAUGAUCCACAUCAUGGACGCUCUUUAUGCCCCAAAAGGGCACCGAACCCUGUUGAGCUUUAAGGACAUUCGCGCUAAUGGCUUUCACUUGAAAACUCAUUGUGAAGAUGGAACUGAGUUCUUGUGUAUCACUUCUCAUGAAUACGGAUGCAAACGUAUAUUGGAGAAACUCAUGAGUCAAUCUAGUGGUCUUUACCUUACUACGAUUCGGAUUAUUGAAUCCCAUGUAGUCGCCAAACAGGAUCUUUGGGACUCUGACUCAUACAAGCUUUGGCAUGAUCGACUUGGUCAUCCUGGAAAGGACAUGAUGAUCCGAAUUCUAUGUAAUUCUCAUGGACAUCCCUUCUUCAAAUCAAAACGAAAACAUUUGGGAAAUGAUGUUACUUUGAAUCAUAGUGGUGACGCCUCAACUGGUCACCACGGCCCAAAAGGGACUUUGACGUCUCCCGGGCUCGGCAUCAACUUCAUGGCUGCCGCUCGGCCGCUCCCUCAAGCAAUUGAGGCGCGCCAUUCUUCCAUUGAUGUGUCGUUGACUCUUUCAAACGCUCAUCGUUCGUUUUACAAAGGUUGUUUUUUAGCGAAAGUAGUAUCGAGACCGUCUUACGCUAAAGAUAACACCGAGAACAUUCCAUUUCUACAUCGUAUCCAAGGUGAUAUUUGUGGACCCAUCCAUCCUGAAUGUGGACCAUUUCGAUACUUUAUGGUCCUGGUGGAUGCUUCAACGCGCUGGACUCAUGUCGCACUCUUGUCCACACGUAAUGUUGCAUUUCCAAAACUCCUAGCACAAAUUAUUAAACUUCGGGCUCACCACUCGGAUUAUCCAAUUAAGUCAAUUCGACUGGAUAACGCUGGAGAAUUUACAUCAAAGACUUUUGAUGACUAUUGCAUGUCUAUCGGGAUUGAAGUCGAGCAUCCUGUACCCCAUGUUCACACGCAAAACGGUCUCGCCGAAGCUACGAUUAAGCGGCUUCAGCUUAUUUCUCGAGCGUUGGUAAUGCGCACCAACCUUCCAAUUGCGUCAUGGGGCUAUGCAAUAUUGCAUGCAGCCUUACUUAUUCGUUUCAGACCCACUGCCAAACAACCAUUCAGUGCUUACCAGUUGGUCACUGGAUAUGAGCCUGACAUUUCGUAUCUACGCAUUUUCGGUUGUUCGGUUUAUGUGUCAAUUACGCCUCCACUGCGUUCUAAAAUGAGUCCUCAGAGACGAUUGAGUAUCUACGUUGGUUAUGAAUCUCCAACGAUUAUCAGAUAUCUCGAGCCAUUAACAGGUGAUCUCUUUAUCGCAAGGUUUGCGGAUUGUCACUUUGAUGAGACACUCUUCCCAUCGUUAGGGGGAGAUACGAACAAACGUGUUCAUGUGGAACGACAGGAAUUGUCGUGGUUUUUCCCCACUCUGUCUCAUUAUGAUCCCCGCACCUCACAAUCUGAAAGUGAAGUGAAACGUAUUCUCGAACUUCAGAAAAUAGCAGAUACGAUGCCUGACUCUUUCUCCGAGAUUGCGAAAGUGACAAGAUCAGAUAUACCAGCUGCAAAUGUUCCUGCUAGGCUCGAAGUCCCUAGAAAGGGCACGGCCAUCCCCUGGCUCGGUACUGCCAUCGUCGGCGGCGCCGCCCAUGGUGGAGGGAUGGAGGCCGUGGCUCCCUAAAGGAAAAGGGGGAGGCCACCUGGUUCGGUUGACACGCGUCUGAGAAAGAAACGGACCGACAAGGCACAAGUCAAUCCUUUGAUCAUCGAUGUUGAGAAUCCUUCUCACGAGAUCAUCUCUGAUUACAGUUAUGUCCACGAGUUGAUAUUAGAAUCCAUGGGGGACGCCUCAGGGUCAAUGCCAACAUCAGAGAACAUAGAGAUCUCCAUGUGUUAUGAUAACACUUAUGAAUUGAUGAACCGGUCAUCAACCCAUGUCGAUGAUAUAUUUGCUUAUUCCGUGGCUCAUGAAAUCAUUGAGCACGAUGACAUCGAACCACGCUCUGUUGCAGAAUGCCAAAACAGAGCAGAUUAGCCUAAAUGGAAAAUUGCAAUCCAGGCAGAAUUAGACUCUCUAACAAAGAGACAGGUCUUCGGCCUAGUAGUGCUAACUCCGCCGAGUGUAAAGCCUAUUGGACAUAAAUGGGUCUUUGUUAGAAAGCGUAAUGAGAAGAAUGAGGUACUUCGGUAUAAGGCCCACCUUGUGGCGCAAGGUUUCUCACAACGCCCUGGGAUUGAUUACGAGGAGACUUACUCUCCAGNNNNNNNNNNNNNNNNNNNNNNNNNNNNNNNNNNNNNNNNNNNNNNNNNNNNNNNNNNNNNNNNNNNNNNNNNNNNNNNNNNNNNNNNNNNNNNNNNNNNNNNNNNNNNNNNNNNNNNNNNNNNNNNNNNNNNNNNNNNNNNNNNNNNNNNNNNNNNNNNNNNNNNNNNNNNNNNNNNNNNNNNNNNNNNNNNNNNNNNNNNNNNNNNNNNNNNNNNNNNNNNNNNNNNNNNNNNNNNNNNNNNNNNNNNNNNNNNNNNNNNNNNNNNNNNNNNNNNNNNNNNNNNNNNNNNNNNNNNNNNNNNNNNNNNNNNNNNNNNNNNNNNNNNNNNNNNNNNNNNNNNNNNNNNNNNNNNNNNNNNNNNNNNNNNNNNNNNNNNNNNNNNNNNNNNNNNNNNNNNNNNNNNNNNNNNNNNNNNNNNNNNNNNNNNNNNNNNNACACAUUAGAGGAACUAGUGGAUUAAGUUCUACAACUGAUAGACCUACAUGCAUUUAUGAGGACAAUGCAGCUUGUAUUGAGCAAAUGAAGUUAGGUUACAUCAAGGGUGACAAUACAAAGCACAUUUCACCUAAGUUCUUCUACAACCAACAACAACAGGCGUUUCUCAACAUUCAAGUGAACCAAGUUAGUUCCGAAGGAAACGCAAUAGACUUAUUUACUAAGUCCUUACCUAAGUCUACUUUUGAGAAACAUGUGAAAAGUAUAGGCAUGCGUCGGCUAUCAAGUCUCUCUGAAUAAUGUUCACAUCAGGGGGAGUAUCAUCUCAAUGAAGUAGGCUGGUGCGUUGUACUCUUUUUCUCCUACGAUCAAGGCUCAGUUUUUCUCCCACAGGGUUUUUGUGACUUGACGAGGUUUUUGACGAGGCAACAGAUUAUCACCAUUGGCAUAUCAACGCGCGGCACAAGGGGGAGUGUUCUAAGAUAUUCUAUAUCUUUCUAGAUAUUCUUUAUGUGUGUCUUUGCCUUAUGCCAAUAGGAUAUGUAGUUAGACUAGAUCUAUGUAUUCAUAUCCUUACCAUACUGGUAAUGUGUAAUUCCCUAUAUAAAGGGUUUCUAUCAAUGAAUGAGAUACACAUCUUUCACGAUUCUCUAUUCUCAAUUUACUUUCACUUCAUCAUAUAUAUAUAUUUUUUUUUAUAAAUGUACAAACCUCAGAUUUCGCAGUCCCCACCAGAAACAUUGCAACAACUUGUCGGAAAGAUCUGUUGAUGAUUUUGUCAAACCAGACUGAAUAGCGGAAUCGUAAAUACCAAAAUCCACAAUUGUGUUUGAUGAAUUUGAGCAAAAUUUAUCGAGUAUGGGUUUUGUAUUUUCCACAGUAAAAUUAGUAUCUUUCAAAUGAUCACAGUGAGGAUCAUAUUUUUUAAUGGCAUCAGUCCAACAAGUUACUAUACGAUCAACAGCAAGAUAGUACCACACUGCUCCAAAUAGCUAAAGAACCAACAAUGCAAUUAAUGGUUAGGUUUCUGAAGAAUAUGAAAUGAAAGUGAUUAUAAGUAUCUGUAAUGUAAUGUAGAUUUGAAACUUACAUGAGCAGCAAGGAUGAAGGGCAAAAGUUCCAAUGUAGCUUUAAGCCAACUUCCUUUUACAGAUGCUAUAUUAGGUUGCUGGCCGAGCCAGCCAUGGAUGCGAUAAACUCGUACUGUAUAUUGAAUUAGAGUGAGAACAAGAAGAACAGAAUCGACACCUCUGGCGGUGAGUAGUGUUACCUGCAUGUAUACAGAACAACUAAAUCUGUUGAAGGUGUUAGGCCAUUUUGAUAAAUACCUACAAUAUUAUUGAGCUGUAUCCAUAUUUAACAUGUCACAUUUAGAGGCAGUAGGGUUUAUCUUACCUGCGGAAGGGGAAGAGCAACAAAUAUACGAACUAGGAGAAGGGGUAUUGAUACUGAUCUAAUGCCAUUCAAAGAAACAGUAGUAGCUGGUACUCGCUGUCGCCGGGCCUCACGCAUCCUAGCUUUCCGAAUUUGCCAUAAACAAAAGAUGAUGUCCGAUGUAUACAAUAGAUCUGUAGCUGAUCGUAGAGUGACAUAUGCUAACAUUAACUUUUGGUCCAUCAUCAGACACUUCUUCUAGUCGUUAAUGAGAAAGAUGUAAGAAAACAAAGGAUCAAGUAGGACAGCAAAUGCACAUGAUAUUACAAAUAUCUUAUUGUCCCACAUUGACAGGAAUGCUGACUGAUCAUGAAGCUUAACGUCCUCUGUUUCUUCUAAGAAAUAUUCAAGUUCCUCCAUUUUUGGCCAUUUCGGAGUAGUACUUCUUCUUCUGUGUCCUCCAUCUUUUGCGGUAGAAGUCGCAGAACUACCAUCCUCAAAACUAUUUUGAUCUGGACUAAUCCUGAAUAAGACACAAGGACAAGGUUAAAUAUUAAAACCAUAAUAACUGAUUUGGCGGAAAAAAAAAACAUGCAGUUUGGUUGUGAUUAGAGAAACCAACGUACCUUAUGGCAACUGAGUCAGUAUGGGAGGCCUCCAUAGCUAAACUUGUCAAAAUAUGAAGCAUUGAAAGUUAUUAGCCAGAGAUGGAGAUGAAUGCUAUCAAAUUUUAGAUGCAUGUAGUUCAAGGUGUGAGCAACAUACUGAGAUUUGCUAGGUUAACUCGUACACAUUAAUUACAGAAGUUCCUGACUAGAAUGAAUCCCAUGCGUGUAAGUAGCACUUCACUUAGUGUUGAACUUUAUCGAAAUUUGGUAGUUUAUCAUCUUUAACUUUCAGUUCUCUUCUAUUACUUUAUGUUAUGGGAUUAAUCAAAUUAAACUCAUUAAUUUGGUCUACAACAGAACAUAUUGAAACAAUACUAUAUAUAUAGAUAUAGAGGUCUGCAAGAAUGACUCAAUUGUACGUGAUAAGGAUAGUUAGCAUGCAUUUUAAUGAUUUUAUACAAUAACACAUAUAUAUUGAGAAAGAACUGAACUCGUUUGAUCGACUUCAAUCGAGUAUGUUAAUUACUUCAUCAGAAGGCGAUUCGUCUCAAGCAAAGGUGCAAGCUUGAUUUCUAGAGACCGGGAGCUCGUAAAGUACAACAAUGACUGAUAAAUGAUCAAGUUUAUACAAAUGGAGUUUUUGAAGAUUGUACAAAAGGAGAAGAUCGAGAGAGCUAUAGUCUAGUGUUAAACGUCCCAGCCCGUUGGUACAAUUUUGCUGAAAUCCCCAAUACCAGCUAAUAAUUCCUCUUGUAAUUUCUUAAUGUGAUUUUUCUUGCGGUUGGACUUUCUUGAUGAAAAUGCAUUCAUGCAAAACUUCUUUGUCUCGGCGAUACAUUUCGCUCUUUCUUCACUUGAGUAGGGCGUUUGUAAUCUGAUUCCUAGUUGAAACGAAACAAAAGCAUCUAUGCAAGCAUAUUUCACUUGAUAGUAAGUGAGUCGUUCAUUACCCCAACGACUCCUUGUAAGUUUCUUAUCCUUCUCCAUCUCCUUGUUUAGAAACUCCAUCGCCAAGGUCUUCAAUCCCAUGGACUUGUAGUCUUUGUAGAUAUCUUCUUUGUAUUUUUCUGCAGCCAUACGUUCGUAUUUCUCUGCAGCCAUAUAUGCGACAUCCAUAGCACAUUUUACAUAUAGACCUUGACGAGCCAAACGAGCGACAUCCCCACAAACUUCCUUACCAACAAAGGUCAGGUUUUCAUCACCGAGGAAUUUGAUGAGCGAUUGCGGAAUGCUUUUUGAUUGGGACAGUUGAUAAAUUAGGCAAUUAUGACCUACACAAAGUUGAAGAACUGCAACUUCUUGAUAUUGAGUUUCAGGGUUCCAUUGCCAUUCAGUAUCAAGACCCACAAUAGACUUAUUGUGACCUAUGUCGUGAUAAAUAUCAUCAAUCCACUGGUCUACACUAGGUGCGUCUGAUGUCAGAAUAGUUCGGAUGCGAUCUUCGUAAAAUUCAAUGGGGAAUAACUUGAACUUGCCUCUAAGAGCCAUUGAGAACAAAUUGUAUGUAUGAAAGUGAAAGUGUGGAAAUACAACUUUGUGAGAAGUAGAGUAGUCUCGGUCGUCUUAUAUAGAUGCAUAAAAAGCUAUGUUAUUCCCAAGUCCUAAGGGUUUCCUAAGUCUGCCCAACUUGGUGCGUUUGUAGGAUAUCCUAUUCCUACAGGGAUAUGGGCAAUCCAAUUGUACGAAAGAACUUUGGACACUGAUUUGUAUUGGCAUUGCACCAAGAUAUAUAUCGACUUGGUAAGCUAGGAUACCCUAGUUCCUACGUCAAACCUAGGUGAGCUAGGAUAUCCCACUCCUACAAGCGUAUGGAGAAAUUCCAAAUUAACUUGAAUUUUCUACUCUGUAAUGCUCGCCUAGAAAUUUUGGUAAUUUGUCCCUUUAUUUUUACUAGACACGACUAAUUGAUAGACUUCGGGUCCUUUUCUUGAUUUGCAUUAUAAAAUUAGUUAUGAACUAUGAAUUGGAGAGUAAGUGAUACCUGAUAAGAUUAGCUACUAUUAGGCAUAGCCGUAUAGAGUGGAUAUAAGUGGAUAACUCCUCCAUUUCAAAAUGGAAUUUACAAAUAGAAUAGAAAAAAUAAAAACAAAAAAUUAUUGACAAUUCAUCUGAUUCAUCAACAAAUGGUGGUUCCAACUCUUCUGACCCAAGUUUGGAUUAUAACCAAUGAGUAUCCACAGGCAAAAUUCAUCUGCAAUGUAUAAAGUGGUCAUUCAAAGAUCAUAGAAUUGACAGAAAAGGAGAACAGAUACUCAUCAUGCUGAUCUUCUAAUGUUUACCUAUUUUUCGUUGUCUAGUGAGGAGAACAAGUGUUCCAAAUCCAAUCAUUAUUGCAGCUUUUAUUGCCUGAAAGAUAAAAUAACGGAGGUAUCAGCACUAUUUUUGUGAUGUACAGUUCGCGCUUUAGUUUGUGUUCAUCGGUUUCAUCCUCUAAAUCUGAACUAUAGGACUAUAAAUUUAUUAUCAACUUAGUUUCUUAGUACAUUUAUGCAGUAGGAAGUCAUACAUCACUUGAUUAAAGAACUAUAACGAAGUGAUCUCUGUGGUGUUAGAAAUAUAACCUGUCCAACUGCCACUCCAGAAGUUUCUGUUUCUUCUGAUUUCUGAACCUUAUGUUGUUCUCUUGGUCUGUUCUUCUUCUCAUUUCUGUUCACUUCAUUACCAUUACUGCUAUCCGCGUUUUCCUACACAAUGAUUAGAAUAGACUGUCAUGACACCGUUCCACUACAUCAUUUUCAUUUGAAAGAAUUUGCAUUAUUACUUUCAGUCUAGAAUAGAAUAUCAUUCUCAUGUUUUAAAUUGGAUCUAGAUGAGUCAAAAUGGUUCAACAAUGUAAUAAGUAAUCAUAGGGCACUUAAGGAAAUUUAGAUACCUGCUGGUCUACUGCAUUUUCUGGAGGAGACAAACUCUUCCCAUCUUGAUGCAUACCUGGCUUUAUCAAAUUGUGACCUCCUAGAAAAUCCAUCACCUUUUUACCACUAGUUGUUAUACAAAAAUGUAUUGCUUCAUCUGGGAAUAUCCAUCCACCAGAUCUCUCAAAAGGAUUGUGCCUGUCUUCGCAUUUUGCUGUUGAAGUGCAUAUUUGGGCUGCAACUCCUUGAAUGUUGGACUUUUGAGAAUUUCUUGAAGAGAUUUCUGGCUGAUGACUUUCCUCUAUAACUGGACUGCCACCUGAAUCUCUCUUUCCAUGGAGCAUCUUACUAGGUUGGUGUCUAUGAUCAUCAAGUACCCUCUCUGAAACUUUAACUACUAUUUCUGAUGAUGUUGUACUGAAAUCAGUGAGGACCUUAUCCUCAUUUAUGUGAACUUCUUGAUGUAAUAGUUUGGAUCUACUCUUAAUACCUGUGUCAUGUGAUGAUUUAGUCCCACCUAAAGCUUCAAGUGAUAUAUUUUUCUCACUGCUUCCACCAUAUGUCCUGUCAUGUUGCAACUGUCCUGGAGGUAAAGAAUUCACUGCCCGUUUUGAUACUGACUCUGAAGUUUCUGUAUUUACUUUCUUCUUGUCUUCUUUUAAGUUCUGGUUCUUCGGAAAAUUGCCUGUUAAAGUUUUGUUUGAUUGAACUUUCAUCGGUGAUGGUUUGAUGUGAGGCUUCUUAUCCUGUUGUUGAAGCAAACAUUACUCAUUAUUACUAAUUUACUAUGGAAAAAAAAACAAGUUAAUCACUUGCUUAGCGUAUAGAUAGGCAUACCUCAGCUAAACCAGUUUCAAAGGCACUUAUCAUGUUCUUUACGCUGGAACUUUUCUUCAGUGGGCUCUGCUGCUUUUCGAGUUUGCAAUUCUCAUCUUCCUGAAGCUUAGGAAGAUUUGUUAUACCAAUAACUGGUUGCGAGGCUCUUAAUAACCUUGCAGGUUCAUCAGCGCAAAUUGCUUCAGCAGGAAUCAUAGUAGGAAGUGGUUGGAUAUUGAUGUUAUCAACUAAACCCCCGCGACUCAAUUCAGUUGGAGACAAAUUAACACUUUGCUUCACAGUGAUGGCUGAUGAAGUCUCUGCAUUCCUAUCUGCAUCACUCUAAAGCAGGUUCAAUGAUCGUUAAUGAACUCACAAACAGUACAUAUCAAUUUUCAAUUAUUCAGUUUUACUUGAAGAACAAAAAGAUCACUCUUCCACUUCCGUAAAUUUUCCUACUCCCAAGUCCUCUACCAUCUGAGACCAAGUCAUCAUCCAGACAAACUUGACAAACUGUCUUUGCAAUGCCUAUGGCCUCAUUUUCAGGAAUGGUAAUCCACAUUAACAGUUAUAUACUAAUUCUCUCCGCUUACUGUUCCUCCCAUGUUACAUUUUCUACCUUAAAGUUUCUAUAUAUUAUUCUUUCUAGGAGAACAAACUCAAACCUGAGAUCACAUUGCGUAGAGUCAAAAAAGUACAUUGGUCAUGGGACUGCUAUGAAUGAACUCCCCGUGCUUCUUUUUCACUGCAGAUUCUCGCUGCAAGAAAUUGUCACUAACUUGAGUACAAACUAAAAAUAGUCAUUGAAAAGUAAGAUCAGAAUCACAAAAGAGUACCAUCAUACGGAUUUGAUUGCGUUCUUCUUCACUGAGUACAAACUGCAACUUCAAAUGCAGAAACCCACCUCCUUUGAGGGGAAAGAAGUCAUCCCAAAGACCCUUUUCAACUAUGGACCUGGUCUCAAUAGCUGCAUUUCCUAGAUAUGAGUAUGUACAUAUCUGCUGCAGUACAAUUCAUAUGUAUAGGAUUGUUUCGACAAACCUGUUUCUGAUAUCUGAUUCCCUUCAGAAUCUUGAAGAAUAACAAGCAUGUUGUCCCGAAGAGUCGUCAAUGGGCUGAACAUGAAAACAAACUGGAUUAGAUACCAAGUUAAUAAUAUUAGCAUUUAAGAUCAAGAUGAGGGAAGGUGAUCAUUACAAGGACAAGUCUCUACUCUCCCAAAUUUGGAACUCUGAUCUUGGCCCCAAAGAAACUGCAUGUGAAUACAGUGAACCCUUUGUUUAAUUGUUGGUUGUUGCAGACAGACAAACUAAGAAGAUAACUGACUUCAGAUGAAACAGUUUCUCACCCUUUAUUGAUGUUGAAGAAGAUGAUGAUGAAGACGGCAGGUCCAUGAAUUUAAGAACUGAAAAGAUUCAAUAGUCAUAUGAAAUGGUAAGAAUCACACCUAAGUAUAAUGCCAAGCCCAUGAUUGAAAUGUAAUUGAAGACUAUAGAUGUUGGUACCUGAAACCAAGAUGGUUCCUGGCAUUGUAGGCAAAUUUGCAAUGGAAAUUGGCCGUUUAAAAUCAGCAAGGUCAGUCUGCAAACUUCUAAAAUUGGAUGAAUGGUUCAAGUCUUCAAGAGGGAUAUGGGGUUGGAUGGAAAUUGUGGAUGUAGUUAGAAGAGGGAGUUCGACGGCUACAGUGGUAGGGUCUUCUAUUAAAUUCUCAUACUCAAAGGUCUCAAAAGGCAAAAUGACAAAAAGAUUAUUUCUGUCUGGCUCAAACUGUCUGCAUAAAUUUUGUCACAACUAACUGGUAUUUGAUUUACGAGAUAAGCUAUUCUUCAUUUGAGUAAUAACUGAACCAGUUUGACUUUGCUGAUCACACUAAAUAGAUAUCUGUGACAAUAGUAUAGCUUGAAUAUGGUCAGAAGGGAGCUGAUGACAAAACCUGAGUUUGCAACUCACUUUUGUACAUUUCAUCCAAUUCCUCAUUCCAUGCUAUCCAAUGAUUAAAUAAAAUACACAUAACAUUUGUAAGAGAUUCCCUUAACAAGGCUUUGAUCCACAUGUUAAUCUGCUGCAAAUAUUUCAUGAAGUCAAAACUAACAUGAUUACAAAGUCACUGAAAAUUAACCUACUUCAAUAUUCGUUUCCCAAAAAUCUAAGUUCUGUGGUCUAUACUUUGAAACAACAUCUCUCUGUGUAGAAUUCUGUCAGUAAACAGCAGCACCAAUUAAAAGCUUGGUACAGGUUUUGCACAGGAAAAAAAUGAUUAAAGCUUGAUUUUUCUUUCAUAAUUUCGUUUCUUCUUCAAGAUCCUGGAUAUUUAACUUUCUUUUACACUCCAGCAUCCACCGUACAAGUUCGUGUUGCUGGUCUUCAGGGAUAGGAAGCUACACCUUCACAAAUCCCAUGUCUCCGAACUUGUAGUAGUUGU